CGCCUGCUUGCUGCCAAACAAGGGUGGUGGCCUAAUGAAUGAGACACUGCUGUCAACUCUCCAUCAAUGGUGGGUUCAUUCACUCUGUGGAUCAUGCAGCCUCUUCCUUGCCUUCCCAUGUCCAUGCUGUUGAUUACUUUUUUAACCCAUUUCUUGCUUUGUGCUGCUUCCUUCAGGCGAAGAGAAAGGGAAAAGAGUUUUGAUUUCUGUGCCUAUUAACCACUCUGACAGAAGGUUUUGUGAAGAAUGACGUUGAAGCUCUUGGUAGAAGUUAGAAAAAACAGUCUAGUUACAAGAACAGCAGAAAAAGACCUGAACUUCAGAGUGGACCACAAACCAAUAGGAAUUAAGAACACAGCUCUCUUUUCAAAAGCCAAUGCAAAAUGAGGAUGUGUUUAUGCAAGAGCAGCUGUUGUUACCCUGGGCUUAUGCUCGACAUUCUUUCAUAUGUCACGGUCAGACCUAGGAAAUUCCCUGGGAAGUCCCCUCCCUCCCAGUGCCUGCAGUUUCUCCCUUGGAGUAUAAUGCUGUUGGAUCUUGAGAGAUCUUUUGAUCUUCAGGAAGCUGUUAUCACAAAAUGGAUCUUCCUGGAGUGAGGAGACAGCGUGGUACACCGGGAGACGAAGGCAGUGGACUGCGGAAUGGGAAUCUGGGUCCCAAUGUCAGUUCUCCCACCACCUGCCUGUGGCUUUAGGAAAGGCCUGUUCCUUCCCUUGCCUCCAUGGCUUCAUCUGUCCAAUGGAGUGACAUGGAGAUGAUGAAAGUCUCCAAAAUAGAAAUAUCAAAGCAUACUCAGACCGAAAGGCCACGCCUUCUUCUAAGCUUGAUCGACCCGAGAUGGGCACCAUCACGUCUCCUUCUCUGCGACCUUCCUAAGGCGACGCAGCAAGUUAAGAAUUCCAGUCUACUCACCUUUUGGGAGUUCUUGGAAGAUCCUCCUUUAUGAGAAACAUUAUUCUACAGCCUGGCAGAGAAAGCGGGGCUAAGCAAGUGUUUUUAGCAAUUAACCCAGGACUCUGGAAUAAUCUUCACCUCUUCAUCUCUGAACCCUAACCUAACAGAAGUACAGAAUUCCAAAGUCUCCGUCUUUUUGAUAGCAGAGUGACUUUUGUCUUCUUAGGGGCAUUUGGGCUCUUCUGCUGCUGCCUUGCUGUGGUCUCCACGCUGCUGCUUGCUGUCCUCAAUCAGUAGCUGCUACUCCUGAUUUUGCUGAUAUGAGAAAUGUCUUUGUUUCUACUAAUUUUAUAGCUCUUAUAACAGGCUCUGCUAAAGUUUCAGGCUAUUUAAAUUUAUUUGUAGCCCUCUCUCUUAAGGAACUUAGAAUCCAUUUUCCUGGGGCUAGGUGGAAGCAUAUCGAGUUACACUCAGAGACACCCCUUCCUACUGACAGUGGACCACUUCCCACGUAAAUUCCAGACACACCAUUAGAGCAAGAUUGUUCUCACCACCUCUUCUGGUAAGCCCAUCGGGUUCAAGAUGGACACUGUCAAUUGUUCACUAGUAGCACUUUCUUCCUUCCUGGCAAAACCCUGAUUGCCGUCAGAUUAUCAACCUCCACACCCCAUGCAGCCCAUUAACUCAAGUGAGGUUCCUUCAAUCCCUAGCUCCAGGGGUAAGUCUUGCCUGGUCCAAGCUCUUCAAAACAGCUCCAUCUCCCUGGCAGGUCAUUUCUUCUGCAACAGGGCUUAGACAAUUCACACUUGAUGGUCUCUGGCAACUACUGGUUCGGGGUGGCCAUGGGGCUUAAGUUGGCCAAAAAAGACUAAAGGGAAGGAUUUUUAUCCACAGUUGGGAGAGAAUUUUUGUCCCUUGCCCACUGAACAUGAACAAGGAAAAAAUAUAGCCCUAGAGCAGAUGAUAGCCAAUUCGCAAUCAUGAAGGAAGCCAGCUUGAAGACAAAGCCAACAUGCGCAGAAGGGCCAAACUGAGAGAUUUCAGAGCAACAGAGCCUGGGGCAUUCCUGCCAGGUGAGGUAAUACAUUUCCUCAUUGUUUACCCCUCUUAGAGUCAAACUCAUUCUAAUUGAUACAGAUCCUUAAGACAAUAGGAAUCUUGGCUUCUCACCAGGUGUGGUGGAGCUCCUGAGGUGGGUUUGCACAGGGAAAGCCCAUGUUUUAAGCGGUGAACUGUUGGCUGUGUUUGUUUAAUGAAACUGAAGUACUUGCUUCUUAUUGAUUAGCUUUUUUAACACUAAUCAGAGAUGCUCACUGAGCUCUCAAAUGACUUCUCCACUGAUCCAGUAUUUUAUCCCAAUUAUUCCACCUAUUUUAAUUAUAUAGUAUGGGUGAUCACACAGUGAACUGGGCACAUCUUAUAAGUGAUAUAUAAGAACCUUAAAAAACCCUCAAAAAUCUGAUGUUGGUUUUGUAAAGCUGUCUAAAUUAUGUUGGAAAAGGGAGACAUUUCAUUUUCAUAUGACUAAAAACAAAAGAAAAAAUAUAUUGUGGCCUUUUGUUUCUAGAUGGUUGCUCUUAGAAAAGGUAGUUGGUGUCUUCCUCACAAAAACGUAAAUAUUCUUGCUAGUAGCGUAUCUCUAGUGGCCUAGAGAACUUGGAGAAUGAAGGAUUUUAUGCUGUAAAAUGGUUAUUUCUGCAUUUCUAAUCAAAUAGCUUAUGAGGAGAUGAAUUAUAUAUGGUUCAAAUUGGUUUGAUGCAGAAUAAAUUCAUUCACAUCUUCGUGCUAGAAAUGACG
rnacentral:lncRNA from 1 species